rnacentral:rRNA from 1 species
UAGGGAAUAUUGGACAAUGGAGGCAACUCUGAUCCAGCCAUGCCGCGUGUAGGAAGAAGGCUUUCUGAGUUGUAAACUACUUUUAUACGGGAAGACAUAGUCAUGCGUGACGAAAAGACGGUACCGUAAGAAUAAGCACCGGCUAACUCCGUGCCAGCAGCCGCGGUAAUACGGAGGGUGCAAGCGUUGUCCGGAAUUAUUGGGUUUAAAGGGUGCGUAGGCGGGCUAAUAAGUCAGAGGUGAAAUCCAUUCGCUUAACGGAUGAACUGCCUUUGAUACUGUUAGUCUUGAGUAAAGUACAGGUAGGCGGAAUUUAUGGUGUAGCGGUGAAAUGCAUAGAUACCAUAAGGAACCCCAAUAGCGAAGGCAGCUUACUAGACUUUUACUGACGCUGAGGCACGAAAGCGUGGGUAGCGAACGGGAUUAGAUACCCCCGUAGUCC